AAAAUUUAUUUGUUUCAUUUGAAUUCUUUCAGUAUUAAGAUUGCAUCAUCUUGACUAAACCUGGAUUAAAUGAAGAACAAACUCAAGAUCAAAUCAGAAGAAAACCUCUAAUGUUUGUUUUUGUUGGGUUACAUUUAUCUUGUCAGAACUCUAAGCAGAUUUUAACAAAUAAAAAUAUUUAGUUUAAACUGUUCCACUUUUUAAUCUAAUUUAGUACAAAACGUUUAGGAUUUUUUUAAAAUAAAAUAAUGCAUUUGAACGCUCUUUGAACAUUUUUGAAAACUUUCCCUUAUACCUGAAACUGCAGGAGUUAAAUCCUUUUCUUAACUAAAGAUCAUGAUUGUUUGGCUGAAAUCAUGCAUCUUUAAGGAAAAAAGGUUUAGAUGAAUGGAGAAUCGGUUAAGUUUCAAACUUAAAAAACUUCUAUGAUCACUUGUGAAGGGAGUGCAGUUUUAAAUCCGGUUCAGGAUGAAUGAUACGGAUCGGACGUGGUGCGUUCAGGGACCCUGWGAGGUGAAACUUAAAUACAUGAACGACCUCUUGUGGAGGAGCGGGGCCAUCUCUUCGGCCACACAGCAAAACUUCAGCUGAAGUCUCCCUCCGAGCUGGUUAUCAAGAAACGAUCAGCACUUUGGAGUGGCUCCUUCCGUUUGCAUGUGUCUCCUUUUACAAACGUGCCCCCACCACCCAACCCCACCCACCCCGCACCGAAACCUGGACCAGGACAUGGGCGCAGCUCACACCUUCUAAUGGAGCACCGAAAGCCAACAUUUAGCGCCUUUUUUAGCAGGAACCCGUGAGGGAUCAGUCUGGUCUGGUCUGGUCUGGUCUGAAAUGCAAAUGAAGAUGCAGUUUACGCACGGUCUGCUGUUCCCAUUGUGCACCGUGAAUGGCUGCGUCCUCCCAGUUCAGCGCAGAUACGCAGCGCUGCAUGAAGUCACUGAUGCAUCCAGUGUGGAUAUGAGACGGGACAAACCUUAAGAAGUG